GGAGUUUUAUGCUUCUCGUGUUUGAUUCAUUUGAAUGAAGUAAUGCUUCAUCCAAGGGGAGAAAUAAUCUCUGACUCUUCUCUAGGCUGAGAUGAGAUUUAUGGAUUGAACCAGCUCAAUGGAUGUCACUGAAAGCAGUGCAGCAAGCCGUCUCUCCCAGCUGUUCACACGGAGAGUGAAAAGGAGUUUCUGGGACCAAGGAAUACACAGUAAAGGAUGAGCAAGCAUGAAUGUUAUGCAGUGCUGCAAGCAUUGAUUGGAACUUAAAAGGAAGAUGAAUAUAUUUCUAACCACCGUCAGUGGAGUCGGGAAAGAAAAAUAAGAUUUUCAUAGGCAGAGAGGUUGGCUGUUGUCUUCUACUUUGAAUCAAUAUGGAGUAAAGUUGUGGAGAUACAGUUCUAUUAUUCAUAUAUGAGAAAACAAGUUAAAUUUGAGUGGUCAUUGAUUCUCCUGAGAAGAUCCCCACAGUGGGGGAUAGUCACCAGAGAAGUAAUUAAGAUGAGAUCGUGCGAAGUUUUGGUAUCAUCAUUGGAAAUUUAUUCUUUAAAAAAAAGAUAAAGAUUUUUAAAGGGAAAUGUCCUGAUCCAAUCUGUAUUUCUGGUAAACAACACAUUGGCUCUUUGUAUAAACUUUUAAGAAGAUUGAAAGAUAAAUUUCAAAAAGACAAAUAAAUAUUUGAAAAUUAAGUUAAUUUUAUGUUAAAUGUCUCACAUAUUUGUUUUUAUAAUACAGGAAUAUUUCUCAAUUUACAGACUCCAGUCUUGGUCUAGCAUUGGACUUGCCAGGCAGAGGAAUAUUUUUGCUUUUCCUUGGGCAGAGAGUAAAAAAAAAAAAAAAAAAAAAAGGAUCACUAAACAUGUGUGAAUUUUUCCCACAGGUGUUUGUAAAAUCUAGGUCAUACAAAGUGCAGGGAGCUUCAAGACAGUAGACUUGGAGUUUCCCAUUUUCUCCCACUAUUUAGAAAAACUCAUUCCUAUUUCAAAAAUAGUACUUACCUCAAUUGACAUAGUUAAUUAACAAAAGGAGGCAAACACAUAUUUAUCAAAGGAAGUAAAGGAGGAUGCUAAAACAUGGAGCAAAUCUCAGUACCUCUGGAAGAACAGCUAACGCUCUCAUACAUAGUGUUUAUUGAAAUUUCCUAAAAGAAGAAGAAUUUGGUUGCCCCAUUUUUUGGCGUGUGUACCCACUUCUUUGGGUAAACACGAAGCACCAUUGGGAGCUUGCUUAGUAACCAUAUGUCUAAUUUUCUAAGAAGCUCCAAACCUGUUUUCUCAAAGUCUCCAUAUACUUUAUAUCCAUAUUAAUGAUAUAUGAAAAUUUUAGCUGCUCUUCAUUUUGUCUCCACUUGUUAAUAUCAUCCUGCCAAGUUUUAGCCAUUCUCAUAGGGGGGUGGAGGCUACAUUUAGUAUCCCAAUGUGAUCUUUACACUUCUCUGAAGUAAUAAUAUUGAUCAUCUUGUUAUGUGAUAUAUGCCAUUGUAAUACCUUUUAUGAAAUGUCUGUAUAUAACUACUAUAUUGGUUUUUUUGCUAUUUUCUUAUUAAGCGGUUAUGUAAGAGUUAAUAUUCUAGACUACUUUUAUAUCAGUUCAGAUAUGUUCAAAAAUAUUUUUGCCUAUUCCGAUCUGUUGCUUAUUUUCUAGUCAUUUUAACAGGGUUUUAUAUUUUUUAUUUUAAAGAGAAUAAAACAAAAGAGAUUAAAACAAAGCAAAUAAGAACAGAACAAUGCAAGCAACACAGCACUUCCCAGCAAGACAACCAGAUAUUAACUGUAGCUACCACAAUGUCUCUUUUCUUUGAAAUAGUUCAGCCUACAUUCACACACAAUAAUAUCAAAUACAAUGAAAUAGUAUAAAACCACUCAAAAGAAUGAAAGUAUUACAGGACAUUCAAAACCAAAUAACAGAAAAUGAAUAAUACCUACUAUAAUAUCUCAUUUUCUUUAAAAAGUUUGUUUAUACUAUCACACAUAUUAAAAUCCAAUAAGACACAACAAGAUAGUACCAAUGGAAACAGAACAAAAAAAAAACAUUAUAGGACUUCAAAGCAAGAUGGUAUUAAAUCAGCAAUGACUGCCAUACUAUCUUGUUUUCUUAAAAGUAGCUGUUCAUACAAUCACACAUAAUAAAAUCAAACAAAACAGAAAAAAACCAUUCCAACAAAUGAAUAAAACGUUGUAAGGCUUCAAAGCAAUAUAAUGGGAAAUCAUGAUUACAAGAAAAUCUUAGGUACUCAUCAUUUCUUAAACUAGGGAAACUAUAUGGUAUUUAUACAUGUGAGUUUGAUUUAUUUCACUUGUGAGUACAGUCACA